rnacentral:rRNA from 3 species
GAGCGGCGAACGGGUGAGUAACACGUGAGUAACCUGCCCCUGACUCUGGGAUAAGCCCGGGAAACUGGGUCUAAUACCGGAUAUGACACCUCCUCGCAUGGGGUGGGUGUGGAAAGUUUUUCGGUUGGGGAUGGACUCGCGGCCUAUCAGCUUGUUGGUGGGGUAAUGGCCUACCAAGGCGACGACGGGUAGCCGGCCUGAGAGGGCGACCGGCCACACUGGGACUGAGACACGGCCCAGACUCCUACGGGAGGCAGCAGUGGGGAAUAUUGCGCAAUGGGCGAAAGCCUGACGCAGCGACGCCGCGUGGGGGAUGACGGCCUUCGGGUUGUAAACCUCUUUCAGCAGGGACGAAGUUGACGUGUACCUGCAGAAGAAGCGCCGGCUAACUACGUGCCAGCAGCCGCGGUAAUACGUAGGGCGCAAGCGUUGUCCGGAAUUAUUGGGCGUAAAGAGCUCGUAGGUGGCUUGUCACGUCGGGUGUGAAAGCUUGGGGCUUAACUCCAGGUCUGCAUUCGAUACGGGCUGGCUAGAGGUAGGUAGGGGAGAACGGAAUUCCU